ACCUGGGUGGCUCAGUCGGUUAAGCAUCCGACUUCGGCUCAGAUCGUGAUCUCGUGAGUUCGUGGGUUCGAGCCCCGCAUCAGGCU
rnacentral:tRNA from 1 species